rnacentral:rRNA from 1 species
GAUGAACGCUGGCGGCGUGCCUAAUACAUGCCAGUCGAGCGAACAGACGAGGAGCUUGCUCCUCUGACGUUAGCGGCGGACGGGUGAGUAACACGUGGAUAACCUACCUAUAAGACUGGGAUAACUUCGGGAAACCGGAGCUAAUACCGAAUAAUAUAUUGAACCGCAUGGUUCAAUAGUGAAAGACGGUUUUGCUGUCACUUAUAGAUGGAUCCGCGCCGCAUUAGCUAGUUGGUAAGGUAACGGCUUACCAAGGCAACGAUGCGUAGCCGACCUGAGAGGGUGAUCGGCCACACUGGAACUGAGACACGGUCCAGACUCCUACGGGAGGCAGCAGUAGGGAAUCUUCCGCAAUGGGCGAAAGCCUGACGGAGCAACGCCGCGUGAGUGAUGAAGGUCUUCGGAUCGUAAAACUCUGUUAUUAGGGAAGAACAAAUGUGUAAGUAACUAUGCACGUCUUGACGGUACCUAAUCAGAAAGCCACGGCUAACUACGUG